CCUGAACGCUGGCGGCGUGGCUAAGACAUGCAAGUCGCACGGGGUCGCAAGACCCAGUGGCGGACGGGUGAGUAAUGUAUCGCUAAUGUACCCUAGAGCCUGGGAUAGCUGCCCGAAAGGGCAGGUAAUACCAGAUGAUAUAACUUUAUCGCAUGAUAAGGUUCUCAAAGCAGCAAUGCACUCUUGGAGCAGGCGAUAUCGUAUCAGCUAGUUGGUGAGGUAACGGCUCACCAAGGCGAUGACGCGUAGCUGGUCUGAGAGGACGACCAGCCACAUCGGGACUGAGACACUGCCCGGACUCCUACGGGGGCUGCAGUAACGAAUCUUCCACAAUGCACGAAAGUGUGAUGGAGCGACGCGCGUGUAGAUGAAGUUCUUCGGAAUGUAAACUACUGUCAGGGGAAAGAAGUUCUGA
rnacentral:rRNA from 1 species